GUUGAACGCUGGCGGCGUGCCUAAUACAUGCAAGUCGAGCGAACGGAGGAGAAUCGUGCUUCGCUUCAGUGACCGGCGGACGGGUGAGUAACAGGAGUCUAACUGACCGAGAAGACUAAGGUCACGUCGGGAAAGCGUAUAUAACACCGGUUAAGAGUUUGAACCGCAUGGUUCAUAAGAGAAAGCCGUACUUGAUGUCACUAAUAGAUGUAUCCGCGCUGCAUUAGCUAGUUGGUAGGGUAACGGCCUACCAAGGCAACGAUGCAUAGCUGAUCUGAGAGGGUGAUCAGCCACACUGGAACUGAGACACGGUCCAGACUCCUACGGGAGGCAGCAGUGGGGAAUCUUGCGCAAUGGGCGAAAGCCUGACGGAGCAACGCCGCGUGAGUGAAGAAGGUCUUCGGAUCGUAAAGCACUGUUAGUUGGGAGGAACAUCAGUGUAAGAAACUGUGGCUGUCUUGACGGUACCUACACAGAAAGCCACGGCUAACUACGUG
rnacentral:rRNA from 1 species